rnacentral:lncRNA from 1 species
AUGACUUGUGGGGAGAACUUCCCCAGUGCUUGCCCUUUGCUCCUUUCAGUUUCUUCGGAUGAGGCACAGGGUGGGUGUGACUCAUUGCUGCUUUCGGGAAGUGGCAGGGGCUCACGGCUGUGCUGCUCGUCAUCAGCAUCCUCCCCGAUAAGGCUGCGCUGGCUGCAAGGCUGCAGCAUUGGUGCUAAGGUCUUCAUCAGAAGGACGUCCCUUACCCUUCCAUUAACUUCCUGAAGAGGUGUCACACUAAAGAUGCAGGGAGAGGGUACAACAGUAAGUAAGCAGAAACUCUCUCCAUUGUGCAAGGGAGACAGGAAAAGGCAGCAACAAAGCAAGAAAGACAAAAGUGAGAAGAAACAGACUUAAGGGCAGUAAUAAGAGAGCAGGGGAAGAAGAGAAGCAAUAGUGCUGACGAACACUAGCCUCAAAAGCUGAUCUGACUCAGGUCCUUCAAAAGCUUGAGACUGCUUUAUAAAUACAAAACUUACCAAAGCAGGAGUUCAACAGUUGGUUUUUGUCUUGUUCCUCUUUUGGCAUACAGGGCUGUAGGCAUUGGUUCCUUGCUACCGAAUAUUCUCUGGAAAAAUGAGGUUUGAAGAGGGGGAGGAGGGUUAAUGUAACCCAGGACUUCUACAUGCUCACAUGACUCCCAGAGUUGGGGGUGUAAGUGAGCUGCCAGCUUGGUUUGACCAUCAGCAGUGCUGAUGCUGUCAGAAGAAAAGAAGAGGAGCUAUACAUGAUAGACCAAGAGCAGCCAAGGUACUGAAAUAUCUUUAUCAGACUACAUUUGCCUUGAAAGCAAAAGGGCUUUGAACAAUUAGGGAGGAAAAAAAUCACCAAAGUUGCCGUGUGGAAACAUGAUACUUUUGCACAAAGUCCAGCCUUGCACAUGGUCAAUAUGAAAAGCUGCUGCCAUCUGUUGGGAGGUGGCUGGGGCAUGGUGGGAGAAGUCUGCCAGAGAAGGACCUGAGAAUCCAGUUGGGACACAAAGGAUUUAACCUCCAUCCUCACUGCAAAGGACCAUAUCCAAGGGAAAGGAGCUCUCCAUGGGGUAUCAUACCUGCCCACAAUCUCAGCAGGGCUGUAGUACUAUGACUAGGCAAGGUCCUAGCAUGCCUUGUGUCGAUGGGCUAAUAGGAAUGAGUACAGAGCAGUUUGGGAUGGAAGAUUGUUUUGAUUGUAUGAAACAUCUCUCAAGGGAAGGGCCAUGCAGGGAACACCAAGAUCUGCAGACAGAGUUCAGGGCAAAGGCUGCAGGACCUCUCGGUGGCCAAUAGGCCAAUGGUGCACUGCAUUUAUGAAUAGGUGUGUCCCAGCUUGGACAUGUACAUCUUUUGGCUGAGAUACCACUCUUUUGCUAGAUUUUGCUAGAUUAUUUUGACCCAUGGACCUUCAAUGCAGAAAAUCAGAUGAUGCGCCUACUGUUUCUUGCUUGAUGUUUCUUAGCAAGCAAACAUGGUACGGUGGGUGGAUGCAAAGCUAGUUUACAUUUUUACGCUAGUUUUACUCCUCUGUAAAUCCUACUCAGUAAUGACUAAUCCCCAAGUUGAUUCCCCUUUCCCAUUCGGAUUAUUUUAUUUUCACUAGAUUUUGAUACUUAAUACAGUUUAACCAUUUAGAGUCUACCUGUUAUGAUUUUUCAAGUGCUAUAAGGCUGGCUCUAGGGUAGUACCCUAAUAUUGCUUACUUGUAGUAGUGAAUACCAGGAUUGUGAUAAAACCAAAGGCAAUGGAAAUAAUAAGACACCAACCCUCUAGAAAAAGCAGAAAUACUUGAAGGAAAAUGCACUGAAAAAGCAGAUUGCAAAAUAAACUGUGGCAAAUGCCUAUGAGCA